AAUAGAUGAUACAUGAGACCGGAGGAUAAAUGGAGCCCAGACCAGAGUAGUCAAAGGGCAGAGAGACCGAUUACUACGUCACCAACGCCACCGCCCUCCCAACACCGUCUGACACCCUUCUGCCUCACCUCCCGUAUCUGCCCCUCCCACUUUAACCCAGACACCCCCAACAGCUUCUUACAGGGCUAUUUUUUGCCAUGCUUCACUAAAUAAGGCCGUGGAGCCUGGCUGUGCGGGCGGGCUGCUGGAAGGGCGCACGGCUCCGCGUCUUACCUUGGUAUAAAAACCCUGGGAUGGUGGGGGUUUCCUCUGAUUCUGCUCAACCCUGCCUGUUGGUGCCCCUGCCCUGGGUUGGUUUUCCAGUUUUUCCAAUGACGUUUUUGGUUGAAAGACAAUGUGUAUGACAGGCUGUUUUUGACAAGUUUUCCUGUAAUCUUUGGAGAGGGGGAGUGGAAUACGGUGGCAAAUGACAAGAAGGACAAAAACACUCCCGGGGAGGAGAGAGUCUGCCUGCACCGGCUGCUUCACUCUGCCUGGGCCACCAUCCUUCAGCAGCCUGACGUGAAUGUGAUCGUCGCCCUGACCUGUCACCUCGUCCUUCCCCCCUCCUCCCGGUCACCUCUCAGACCUGCGUCGCCCCCCCUUGAAUGCUUUGCUAAAGCUGGUAAAAUGGAACCAAAUCAACUGUUCAAUGGAUUUGGUCCCCUUCAACCAGCUGUAGCUGUGCAUUGAUCACUCCGAACAACAACAAAAAAAGCUGCAGGAAGAGCAGAGAACGAGAGGUCAUCGACAUCGAGGGAGGCUGCAACAGAUCCUGCAGAGACUCUGACUGUGGAUGAAUACACAGCAUGUGAUAGAUAUUGGUGCAGUUUUCCCUCGCAGUAGUUGAAAUAAGAUCAGGUAGGUAAAUAAAAGUACGUUUUCACUGUAUUCGUAAUGACGUAGUGCUGUAAAUGCAGUAGUCAACCCUUUUAAUUUUUCUCUGGAUCUGUUAGCGUGUGUGUGUGUGUGUGUGUGUGUAUGUGUCCUCUAAUCAAUAAAACUGCAUCAUGAAGUUCAUAUAAAGUGCUGAAGUGGUCUUUGCUUUGAAGCGCAGUCCUGAGGGAAGCCUCACGAGACAGACAGUCAAUCCAGGGGUUGUGUGUGUGUGUGUGUAUGUUAAUAAGAGUUGACGGAGUGUUGAUACAAUUCCUAAUAAAACUUUUUUUUAUCAGUACCGGUGGUCUUGUAUUGUCUUCUUCAAUAUCCUGAUCCCCCUCAUUUGUUUCACAUAAAAAAAAAAAAAUCUAAAUUUACAGACACUCCCUGAUUCUUUGUUUCACCACGUCUGUUUGUUGAUGUCUGUCAAUCCAAUUGUUUUUAUCUAAACCUCAGUUUCUUGAAUUUUCUUUUAGUCAAGUUCACCACAUGGAAUAGUUUCACAGUGAAACCAGUUAUAAAAUAAAUCAGUUCAGGUGAAUUUUCAGAACGUUCAGAUGUUUUAAGUUUGUGUUUAUUUAUGAUGAAUUAUAGUUUAUUUAACUGACACAUUUUCAUUACAUUUUCUACCUCAGGCACAGGAUUAUAAAAUUUUAUGCAUUUGUUUUAAAUAGACCCAAUGGGAAAUUAAGGCGUGGAAAUGGUUUGAUCAUCCAAAAA